UACGUAGGGUCCGAGCGUUGUCCGGAAUUAUUGGGCGUAAAGGGCUCGUAGGCGGUUCGUCACGUCGGGAGUGAAAACUCGGAGCUUAACUCCGAGCCUGCUUCCGAUACGGGCAGACUAGAGGUAGGCAGGGGAGAGCGGAACUCCUGGUGUAGCGGUGGAAUGCGCAGAUAUCAGGAAGAACACCGGUGGCGAAGGCGGCUCUCUGGGCCUUACCUGACGCUGAGGAGCGAAAGCGUGGUAGCGAACAGG
rnacentral:rRNA from 1 species